UACGUAGGCAGCGAGCGUUGUUCGGAGUUACUGGGCGUAAAGGGUGCGUAGGCGGUUGUUUAAGUUUGGUGUGAAAUCUCCCGGCUCAACUGGGAGGGUGCGCCGAAUACUGAAUGACUAGAGUGCGGGAGAGGAGAGUGGAAUUCCUGGUGUAGCGGUGGAAUGCGCAGAUAUCAGGAAGAACACCCGUGGCGAAGGCGGCUCUCUGGAACGCAACUGACGCUGAGACGCGAAAGCGUGGGGAGCAAACAGG
rnacentral:rRNA from 1 species